rnacentral:rRNA from 1 species
UACGUAGGCAGCAAGCGUUGUUCGGAAUUACUGGGCGUAAAGAGUGUGUAGGCGGUGCUCCAAGUCUGGUGUGAAAUCUCCCGGCUUAACUGGGAGGGUGCAUUAGAAACUGGAAUGCUAGAGGAUGGGAGAGGUAAGCGGAAUUCCUGGUGUAGCGGUGAAAUGCGUAGAUAUCAGGAGGAACACCUGUGGUGUAGACAGCUUACUGGACCAUUUCUGACGCUGAGACACGAAAGGCGUGGGUAGCAAAUAGG